rnacentral:lncRNA from 1 species
UUACAACCCCCAUCACACUAACUGUACUCCCUUCUUUGAUGUAUCUGUCAUGGAAUCAUUUGAUUGAUACGUUGUACCAUUUUUUUAAUCAACAUUUUUUAUAUAUUAAACUUGUACUAUUUAUUCUACAACAAACAAAUCAAGUCUCUUCCAAUUACCAAAAAAGUCUUGUUGGCAUGUAACUCAAACUUGUUAACAUGACCAUAAAAGGAAAGGCCACAUACCAUUUACAACAAGUUUGUAUAAUUUGUUGUAUGAACAACUUUAACGCAAACUUUCUUUACAAGAUUCUACCGUGUUAUCUUCUUAACAGUUAUUAACGCGUACAACAAACCAAUCAAAUUUGCCGUAAACGAUUUUGUAUCACUUUCUUUCAUACCCAAAAAUGGUUGUGAAGAAAACAACUAAAGUCUUUUACAACAUCUUUGUUUGGUUUGUCGUACUUAAAGAACAUUUUAUUUAUACCUAAAGAAAACCACUUGAGUUGUUCGCUAUCAAAAUUUACUUAUGGAUGUUUUCUUUUUUACUAGAGUUGCCGUUGUUCUUUAAUAUGGUAUUACUAGAUUCUAGUAUGAUAUUUCUUAUAACUCAUUACGCGUUUAAGAAGCUUACCCUUCUUUAAG